rnacentral:piRNA from 1 species
UGNGUGCUUUCGGAGAUGCAUGCCCUGG